rnacentral:rRNA from 1 species
AACGAACGCUGGCGGCAUGCCUAACACAUGCAAGUCGAACGAGACCUUCGGGUCUAGUGGCGCACGGGUGCGUAACGCGUGGGAACCUGCCCUUAGGUUCGGAAUAACUCCCCGAAAGGGGUGCUAAUACCGGAUAAUGUUUUCGGACCAAAGAUUUAUCGCCUUUGGAUGGGCCCGCGUUGGAUUAGCGAGUUGGUAGGGUAAAAGGCUACCAAGGCGACGAUCCAUAGCUGGGCUGAGAGGAUGAUCAGCCACACUGGGACUGAGACACGGCCCAGACUCCUACGGGAGGCAGCAGUGGGGAAUAUUGGACAAUGGGCGAAAGGCUGAUCCAGCAAUGCCGCGUGAGUGAUGAAGGCCUUAGGGUUGUAAAGCUCUUUUACCCGGGAUGAUAAUGACAGUACCGGGAGAAUAAGCUCCGGCUAACUCCGUG